UCAUCUGUUUCGAAAUUUGGAGAACUUCCAAAAUUUGCUGCCUUUGGUUUGGUUAGAAUUCAUAGGCAUAUACAGAUAAUACGAAUUUGAAAAAAAAAGAUGGUUUUGCAGUUUUGUCUAUUAAAAGGUCUUGGACUCUAUGAUGAUGUCUUGUUAAAGAUUCUAUGAGUAAGGAUGAAUCUAGUUCUCAUUCAAAGAAAUCUGUAUAGACGAGUCAUUUAAGAGUCCAUUAAUUCAUGAUGGAAAUCUAUCAUUAUCUGUUAAAAAAAAAAACCAUUUUGGGGCUCAAAAUCUCACAAAGAGAAAAGCCUUUUCUGAUGACAAAA